ACAUUGACUAUUUUUAAGUGCGUAUCUAUGAGUCAUUUCUAGACAAUGCCUUUAUUAGUUAAAUCUAGUACAGUAUAAAAUUUCUCUUCAAUGGAAGGACUCAGUUUAAAUCAAUUGACAGACUGUAUUAAGAAAACUGAACUGUGCGUGGACUGGAUAAGCCAAUGCCAGGAUGGAAGUAAACAUCACAAAUUUUUGACAAAGAGGGACGCCUCAGACGUAAUUAAAUUAGAUGUUCAAAACGUUUCUACAGAACAUGAUAUGCUUCCAGCAAGAUUUCGAGGUAUUUUUUUUAUCUU